rnacentral:rRNA from 1 species
ACGAACGCUGGCGGCGUGCUUAACACAUGCAAGUCGAACGGAAAGGCCCUGCUUUUGUGGGGUGCUCGAGUGGCGAACGGGUUAGUAACACGUUAGUAACCUGCCCUUGACUUUUGGUUAACUUCAGGAAACUUGGGCUAAUACCGGAUAGGAGCUCCUGCUGCAUGGUUGGGGUUGGAAAGUUUCGGCGGUUGGGGAUGGACUCGCGGCUUAUCAGCUUGUUGGUGGGGUAGUUGCUUACCAAGGCUUUGACGGGUAGCCGGACUGAGAGGGUGACCGGCGAAAUUGGGACGGAGAUACGGAACAGAAUCCUACGGGAGGCAGCAGUGGGGAAUAUUGAACAAUGGGCGGAAGCCUGAUGCAGCAACGACGCGUGCGGGAUGACGGCCUUCGGGUUGUAAACCGAUUUCGAAUGUGACGAAGCGUGAGUGACGGUAAUGGGUAAAGAAGCACCGGCUAACUACGUG